rnacentral:rRNA from 1 species
AGAGUUUGAUCCUGGCUCAGAACGAACGCUGGCGGCGUGGAUAAGACAUGCAAGUCGGACGCUGAUUUCAGGGUAGCAAUAUUCUGGAGUCGGAGUGGCGCAAGGGUGCGUAACACGUGGGUAAUUUGCCGUGAAGCCUGGGAUAACUUGCUGAAAGGCGAGCUAAUACCGGAUGUGAUUAUCGGGAGGCAUCUCCUGAACCUUAAAGUUGGGGACCGUAAGGCCUGACACUUCACGAUAAGCCCGCGGCCUAUCAGCUAGUUGGUGAGGUAACGGCUCACCAAGGCUAAGACGGGUAGCUGGUCUGAGAGGACGACCAGCCACACUGGAACUGAGACACGGUCCAGACACCUACGGGUGGCAGCAGUCGAGAAUUUUUCACAAUGGGCGAAAGCCUGAUGGAGCGACGCCGCGUGGGGGAUGAAUGGCUUCGGUCCGUAAACCCCUGUCAUCUGGGAACAAUUCUCAUCCGAUAACACCGGAUGAGUUGAUAGUACCGGAAGAGGAAGGGACGGCUAACUCUGUGCCAGCAGCCGCGGUAAUACAGAGGUCCCGAGCGUUGUUCGGAUUCACUGGGCGUAAAGGGUGCGUAGGUGGUGAGGUAGGUCUGAUGUGAAAUCCCGCAGCUCAACUGCGGAACGGCAUCGGAUACUAUCUUGCUAGAGGGUUUGAGGGGGGACUGGAAUUCUCGGUGUAGCAGUGAAAUGCGUAGAUAUCGAGAGGAACACCAGUGGCGAAGGCGAGUCCCUGGAAAACUCCUGACACUGAGGCACGAAAGCUAGGGGAGCAAACAGGAUUAGAUACCCUGGUAGUCCUAGCUGUAAACGGUGCACGUUUGCUGUGAGUGGAAUCGACCCCACUCGUGGCGUAGCCAACGCGUUAAACGUGCCGCCUGGGAAGUACGGUCGCAAGAUUAAAACUCAAAUGAAUUGACGG